rnacentral:rRNA from 1 species
UACGUAGGUGGCGAGCGUUGUCCGGAAUUACUGGGUGUAAAGGGAGCGUAGGCGGGAGAGCAAGUCGACUGUGAAAUCUAUGGGCUUAACCCAUAGCUGCGAUCGAAACUGUUCAUCUUGAGUGAAGUAGAGGCAGGCGGAAUUCCUAGUGUAGCGGUGAAAUGCGUAAAUAUUAGGAGGAACACCAGUGGCGAAGGCGGCCUGCUGGGCUUUAACUGACGCUGAGGCUCGAAAGCGUGGGUAGCAAACAG